rnacentral:rRNA from 1 species
GAAUGCUGACAUAAGUAACGAUAAAGCGGGUGAAAAGCCCGCUCGCCGGAAGACCAAGGGUUCCUGUCCAACGUUAAUCGGGGCAGGGUGAGUCGACCCCUAAGGCGAGGCCGAAAGGCGUAGUCGAUGGGAAACAGGUUAAUAUUCCUGUACUUGGUGUUACUGCGAAGGGGGGACGGAGAAGGCUAUGUUAGCCGGGCGACGGUUGUCCCGGUUUAAGCAUGUAGGCGGAGGUUCCAGGUAAAUCCGGUACCUUUUAACGCUGAGGUGUGAUGACGAGGCACUACGGUGCUGAAGUAACAAAUGCCCUGCUUCCAGGAAAAGCCUCUAAGCAUCAGGUAACAUUAAAUCGUACCCCAAACCGACACAGGUGGUCAGGUAGAGAAUACCAAGGCGCUUGAGAGAACUCGGGUGAAGGAACUAGGCAAAAUGGUGCCGUAACUUCGGGAGAAGGCACGCUGGUGUGUAGGUGAAGUCCCUGCGGAUGGAGCUGAGACCAGUCGAAGAUACCAGCUGGCUGCAACUGUUUAUUAAAAACACAGCACUGUGCAAACACGAAAGUGGACGUAUACGGUGUGACGCCUGCCCGGUGCCGGAAGGUUAAUUGAUGGGGUUAUCCGUAAGGAGAAGCUCUUGAUCGAAGCCCCGGUAAACGGCGGCCGUAACUAUAACGGUCCUAAGGUAGCGAAAUUCCUUGUCGGGUAAGUUCCGACCUGCACGAAUGGCGUAAUGAUGGCCAGGCUGUCUCCACCCGAGACUCAGUGAAAUUGAACUCGCUGUGAAGAUGCAGUGUACCCGCGGCAAGACGGAAAGACCCCGUGAACCUUUACUAUAGCUUGACACUGAACAUUGAGCCUUGAUGUGUAGGAUAGGUGGGAGGCUUUGAAGCGUGGACGCCAGUCUGCGUGGAGCCAACCUUGAAAUACCACCCUUUAAUGUUUGAUGUUCUAACGUAGGCCCCUGACCGGGGUUGCGGACAGUGUCUGGUGGGUAGUUUGACUGGGGCGGUCUCCUCCCAAAGAGUAACGGAGGAGCACGAAGGUUAGCUAAUCCUGGUCGGACAUCAGGAGGUUAGUGCAAUGGCAUAAGCUAGCUUGACUGCGAGCGUGACGGCGCGAGCAGGUGCGAAAGCAGGUCAUAGUGAUCCGGUGGUUCUGAAUGGAAGGGCCAUCGCUCAACGGAUAAAAGGUACUCCGGGGAUAACAGGCUGAUACCGCCCAAGAGUUCAUAUCGACGGCGGUGUUUGGCACCUCGAUGUCGGCUCAUCACAUCCUGGGGCUGAAGUAGGUCCCAAGGGUAUGGCUGUUCGCCAUUUAAAGUGGUACGCGAGCUGGGUUUAGAACGUCGUGAGACAGUUCGGUCCCUAUCUGCCGUGGGCGCUGGAGAAUUGAGGGGGGCUGCUCCUAGUACGAGAGGACCGGAGUGGACGCAUCACUGGUGUUCGGGUUGUCAUGCCAAUGGCACUGCCCGGUAGCUAAAUGCGGAAGAGAUAAGUGCUGAAAGCAUCUAAGCACGAAACUUGCCCCG